UCAUAUAUUGUUUUAAAACAUUCCAAGUCUAAGAUACAGCAUUGGCAUUAUUAUUAUUGCAAAGAUCAUUCCACCAAAAGAGAGCAAAACCAAUAAACUCACUAGUAGCAAGCCUAACUCUAUACUCAGCAAGAACUAAAUGAGAAUUAAAUUUUUGUUCAACAGCAAGUUCCAAUCUAAAUAAGCCUCAGGAUCAGCAUUACCAGCAAAAGGAAUCAUGGUAAAUUUAGUUUUAGCAAAAUGAUCAUUAUUACUAUGGUGAUGAUUAUUACCUCCCAUACCACGACGAUUACGCCGAAGACGGUCCAUGUCACGUGCAUCAUCAUUAAGAUCAGCGUCAUCAUCAUCCUCCAGACCAUCAACAUGAGAGGUGGGUCGGCGUGGUGGCACUGGGGGAGGUCAUUGCUCAACAUGUUCAAUCCGG
rnacentral:lncRNA from 1 species